rnacentral:rRNA from 1 species
CCUACGGGAGGCUGCAGUGGGGGAUAUUGCACAAUGGGGGGAACACUGAUGCAGCGACGCCGCGUGGGUGAAGAAGCGCCUCGGCGCGUAAAGCCCUGUCAGCAGGGAAGAAAAUGACGGUACCUGAAGCAGAAGCCCCGGCUAACUACGUGACAGCAGCCGCGGUAAUACGUAGGGGGCAAGCGUUAUCCGGAUUUACUGGGUGUAAAGGGGGCGCAGACGGCGAUGCAAGCCAGGAGUGAAAGCCCGGGGCCCAACCCCGGGACUGCUGUUGGAACUGCGGGGCUGGAGUGCAGGAGGGGCAGGCGGAAUGCCUGGUGUAGCGGUGAAAUGCGUAGAUAUCAGGAGGAACACCGGUGGCGAAGGCGGCCUGCUGGACUGCAACUGACGUUGAGGCCCGAAAGCGUGGGGAGCAAACAGGAUUAGAUACCCUAGUAGUC